AAAUUGAAGAGUUUGAUCAUGGCUCAGAUUGAACGCUGGCGGCAGGCCUAACACAUGCAAGUCGAACGGUAACAGGAAGCAGCUUGCUGCUUCGCUGACGAGUGGCGGACGGGUGAGUAAUGUCUGGGAAACUGCCUGAUGGAGGGGGAUAACUACUGGAAACGGUGGCUAAUACCGCAUAACGUCGCAAGACCAAAGAGGGGGACCUUCGGGCCUCUUGCCAUCAGAUGUGCCCAGAUGGGAUUAGCUUGUUGGUGAGGUAACGGCUCACCAAGGCGACGAUCCCUAGCUGGUCUGAGAGGAUGACCAGCCACACUGGAACUGAGACACGGUCCAGACUCCUACGGGAGGCAGCAGUGGGGAAUAUUGCACAAUGGGCGCAAGCCUGAUGCAGCCAUGCCGCGUGUAUGAAGAAGGCCUUCGGGUUGUAAAGUACUUUCAGCGGGGAGGAAGGUGUUGUGGUUAAUAACCGCAGCAAUUGACGUUACCCGCAGAAGAAGCACCGGCUAACUCCGUGCCAGCAGCCGCGGUAAUACGGAGGGUGCAAGCGUUAAUCGGAAUUACUGGGCGUAAAGCGCACGCAGGCGGUCUGUCAAGUCGGAUGUGAAAUCCCCGGGCUCAACCUGGGAACUGCAUUCGAAACUGGCAGGCUUGAGUCUUGUAGAGGGGGGUAGAAUUCCAGGUGUAGCGGUGAAAUGCGUAGAGAUCUGGAGGAAUACCGGUGGCGAAGGCGGCCCCCUGGACAAAGACUGACGCUCAGGUGCGAAAGCGUGGGGAGCAAACAGGAUUAGAUACCCUGGUAGUCCACGCCGUAAACGAUGUCUACUUGGAGGUUGUGCCCUUGAGGCGUGGCUUCCGGAGCUAACGCGUUAAGUAGACCGCCUGGGGAGUACGGCCGCAAGGUUAAAACUCAAAUGAAUUGACGGGGGCCCGCACAAGCGGUGGAGCAUGUGGUUUAAUUCGAUGCAACGCGAAGAACCUUACCUGGUCUUGACAUCCACGGAAGUUUUCAGAGAUGAGAAUGUGCCUUCGGGAACCGUGAGACAGGUGCU
rnacentral:rRNA from 1 species